rnacentral:other from 1 species
GAUACCCUGCAGUGUCCGUGUUUGGAUUCAACAGUUUGCAGCCAAUGCUUCUAAUUAAGGGUGUGCUCGUCUCGUGGUGUGCAAGCCUGUCGUAGCGAUACGUAUCAGGAAGCCUGAAGCGAGAGACAAUCACUCUGCCUGUUGUAUACAGGCUCAAAAUGUUCAUUCCACACGGCAUUUGCGGGGUUUUU